GAUGAACGCUGGCGGCGUGCCUAAUACAUGCAAGUCGAGCGAACAGACGAGGAGCUUGCUCCUCUGACGUUAGCGGCGGACGGGUGAGUAACACGUGGAUAACCUACCUAUAAGACUGGGAUAACUUCGGGAAACCGGAGCUAAUACCGGAUAAUAUAUUGAACCGCAUGGGUCAAUAGUGAAAGACGGUUUUGCUGUCACUUAUAGAUGGAUCCGCGCCGCAUUAGCUAGUUGGUAAGGUAACGGCUUACCAAGGCAACGAUGCGUAGCCGAACUGAGAGGGUGAUCGGCCACACUGGAACUGAGACACGGUCCAGACGCCUACGGGAGGCAGCAGUAGGGAAUCUUCCGCAAUGGGCGAAAGCCUGACGGAGCAACGCCGCGUGAGUGAUGAAGGUCUUCGGAUCGUAAAACUCUGUUAUUAGGGAAGAACAAAUGUGUAAGUAACUAUGCACGUCUUGACGGUACCUAAUCAGAAAGCCACGGCUAACUACGUG
rnacentral:rRNA from 1 species